rnacentral:rRNA from 1 species
UACGAAGGGGGCUAGCGUUGCUCGGAAUCACUGGGCGUAAAGCGCACGUAGGCGGAUUGCUAAGUCAGGGGUGAAAUCCUGGAGCUCAACUCCAGAACUGCCCUUGAUACUGGCGAUCUCGAGUCCGGGAGAGGUGAGUGAAACUGCGAGUGUAGAGGUGAAAUUCGUAGAUAUUCGCAAGAACACCAGUGGCGAAGGCGGCUCACUGGCCCGGUACUGACGCUGAGGUGCGAAAGCGUGGGGAGCAAACAGG